GACGAACGCUGGCGGCGUGCUUAACACAUGCAAGUCGAACGAAGUGGCGAACGGGUGAGUAACGCGUAAUCAACCUGCCCUUCAGAGGGGGACACCAGUUGGAAACGACUGCUAAUACCGCAUACUGAAGGAGGGGAUUGCGUCUGAUUAGCUAGUGGGAGGGGUAACGUCCCACAAAGGCGAGGAUCAGUAGCCGGGAGGAGAGGAUGAACGGCCACAUUGGGACUGAGACACGGCCCAGACUCCUACGGGAGGCAGCAGUGGGGAAUCUUCCGCAAGGGACGAAAGUCUGACGGAGCAACGCCGCGUGAGUGAUGACGGCCUUCUGUUUGUAAAGCUCUGUUAAUCGGGACGCGGUACCGGAAUAGAAAGCCACGGCUAACUACGUGCCAGCCGCCGCGGUAAUUC
rnacentral:rRNA from 1 species